rnacentral:rRNA from 1 species
GAGGAAUACUGGUCAAUGGGCGCAGGCCUGAACCAGCCAAGUAGCGUGAAGGAUGACUGCCCUAUGGGUUGUAAACUUCUUUUAUAAAGGAAUAAAGUCGGGUAUGUAUACCCGUUUGCAUGUACUUUAUGAAUAAGGAUCGGCUAACUCCGUGCCAGCAGCCGCGGUAAUACGGAGGAUCCGAGCGUUAUCCGGAUUUAUUGGGUUUAAAGGAAGCGUAGAUGGAUGUUUAAGUCAGUUGUGAAAGUUUGCGGCUCAACCGUAAAAUUGCAGUUGAUACUGGAUAUCUUGAGUGCAGUUGAGGCAGGCGGAAUUCGUGGUGUAGCGGUGAAAUGCUUAGAUAUCACGAAGAACUCCGAUUGCGAAGGCAGCCUGCUAAACCGCCACUGACGUUGAGGCUCGAAAGUGUGGGUAUCAAACAGGAUUAGAUACCCUGGUAGUCCACACGGUAAACGAUGGAUACUCGCUGUUGGCGAUAGACUGUCAGCGGCUUAGCGAAAGCGUUAAGUAUCCCACCUGGGGAGUACGCCGGCAACGGUGAAACUCAAAGGAAUUGACGGGGGCCCGCACAAGCGGAGGAACAUGUGGUUUAAUUCGAUGAUACGCGAGGAACCUUACCCGGGCUUGAAUUGCAGACGAAUUGCUUGGAAACAGGCAAGCCGCAAGGCGUCUGUGAAGGUGCUGCAUGGUUGUCGUCAGCUCGUGCCGUGAGGUGUCGGCUUAAGUGCCAUAACGAGCGCAACCCUCGUGUCCAGUUACUAGCAGGUUAUGCUGAGGACUCUGGACAGACUGCCAUCGUAAGAUGUGAGGAAGGUGGGGAUGACGUCAAAUCAGCACGGCCCUUACGUCCGGGGCUACACACGUGUUACAAUGGGGGGUACAGCAGGCAGCUACCGGGCGACCGGAUGCCAAUCCCGAAAGCCUCUCUCAGUUCGGACUGGAGUCUGCAACCCGACUCCACGAAGCUGGAUUCGCUAGUAAUCGCGCAUCAGCCAUGGCGCGGUGAAUACGUUCCCG